AGAAGAACCGGAAGUCGGGCUGGGUUGAGCCCCUCAAAACCCAGUAACAGGGAACUACUUCUCCACCGAGGCUCCAUCCCUCUCAAGGCUUGCUUAGCUUUAGAGGGCUAGUCUUUGCUCAUUAUAGUAGGGAGCAGACAAUCAUGAUGCUGGAGCCGUAGUUAAAACCUUUACAUCCUGAUUCACAGGGGGCAGACAGAGACACUGGACCUGAUGUGACUUUUGAAACCUUAGAGCCCACCCCCAGAGACCCACCUUCUCCAAUAAGACCACACUUCCUAAUCCCUCCCAAACAGUUCUACUAACUGGGAGCUAAGCAUUUAAACAUAUGAGCACAUGGGAGCCAUUUUCAUUCAAACCACCACCGUCCCCAGUUGAGAAUCAUGGGAGUUACACUGUGCUUGCUCUGAGUUUACCUCUAGGAGGACUGGCAGUUUUUCCAUUAGGUUCUUGGAGCUCUAAGAGGCCACAGAGAGAAGCUCUAGGACUCCAUGGAGAGGUACUGGGCCACCUGUCGUCAUUCUUUCUUCUAGCCAUCAUGUCACCAAGCUGGUGUGAAGGCCCUGUGGAUCCUCCAGGCCACCUCAUGAACCUGUUCACCAGACAUCACACGGAGAACAGCCAUCCAGUUGAAUCCUGCCCAAAUGCUUUACCCAUGAAAUGGGUUUCACGAGGUUCACACAUAUCUCAAACCUCAUCGGAGAAAUUUCUAUUUGCAGUAGACAGUGAUCAACGCAGAUACUUGCAAAUGGUCAAGGAGAAUCCAAGAAGGGCAUGAUGAUCUGGAUGCGAAGAUGCUUCCCUUCGUGUCUAUAAAACAGAGAAGACAGUCAGUGCUCAGGAGUCAGGACUGCUGCUGUGUCCCUCAGUGACCCACUUAGAGGAGAUACCUGGACAACAUCAGCCACCCUGAUCAGAGCAUUCAUCCUCUGGUCCUGAGAUCCUCUCCUGCUUCCCCCGAGUCUUUCUCUGUGAACUUGUCUUUCUCUUUUCACGUUCUACUUUCAUAAAGGAAUAAAGAUAGAAUAUUUAAAUUUUUUAAAAAAAAUCCCACAAAGAUAUAGUAUUUAAAAGGAGCACUCAGCCUAACUCAAGUUCCAUUUUUGGGUCUGAGUGACAAGAGCCCCCAUUUGCCUGGCUUGUCCUCUCUCUGUAUAUGUUGCUUCCUCUUGGGACCACACAGGAGCAGUGACUUUGUAGCAACUAGAAUUUAUAUGGUAAGGAUCCAGUGUCCAAGACAUUUGCCUCUCAAAUUAUAAAUAUCUUUCUACAUUCAAAGAGCUGUGUUUAUGGAAAUAAUAUCUAUGGUUAAGUUUCAUAAACAUCAAUUUCAUAAUGUUUAGGAAACCCUGGCAUUAACAGUAUAUAUGAAGGUCCCUUCCUUCGCCAGCAGUUGAAUCUAUAGUAUGCUGCUAACCCAAGUCUUCACUGACCUACCUCUGGCUUCUUGGUUUGGUUUCUCCUUGGGAGGGCACCAGCUCACGGGUGUCUUUUACCGCUAUGUCUUAUGUGCUUGUUUCUUUGUGUUAUUCAUUAAAUAGUGAUGAGACUAUCACUACUAUUAAGUAGGGAGACACUAGGCAUAGCCAAGACAUUGCCAUGCCCUAGAAGUCUCUAGAUUUCCAAGUAUGUCAAUAUCUUCUCCAAAUCUUUCUUCCUACGAAUGAGCAUGUUGCCAUGGUAACAGCUGAGUAUUGGUGUUAAUAAGAAGUCUUGCAAGGAGGAAAAUUCUUUUAAUGUAAAGGUAGCACUGUGACUUAUUUAUUUAAAUCAAUUAUUCAUUCCCUUAUUAAAUGAGUUUUCAAGCUGC
rnacentral:lncRNA from 1 species